UACUGGGGGCGCACAAAGGAGGAAAAUAUACCAGACAUGCCAAGGCUAAGAAUGGCUCCCCAGAAAAUGGAUACCUGAGAAAAGGGAGAAUCAAUUUUGAUUUGCAGAUACUCUUAUGUUUUCAUUAAUUCUUGCUGGCACAUCCAUUACAUAACUCUAGGUCAAGAAGAGAAUUUGUGUAUCUGUUGGAAAACCUUUAGCCAGAGAAAUUAAAGAUGAUAUCAAAUGAGUCUGUCUUUUUUCUUCUUUACAGACCCCUGAAACGUGGCUUGCCCUAAGACUGAGCAAGCAUUAAAAUGAAGAACAUCUUGAGAAUUGGCUGACUGCAGCCCAAUCAUGCUGUCUGUGUACACUGUUUCAUUUGCCCAGUUUCCCUAAAAAAGUUCCUGCUUUACUGCUUAUCCCUCACCAUAUUAAACUUUGAGAGGCCAAGGUGGGUGGAUCACUUGAGGUCAGGAGUUCAAGACCAGCCUGGCCAACAUGGCAAAACCCUGUCUCUACUACAAAUACAAAAAUUAGCUGGGGAUGGUUGUGGACACCUGUAGUCCCAGCUACUUGGGAGGCUGAGGCAGGAGAAUCACUUGAACCCAGGAGUUGGAGGUUUCAGUGAGCCGAAGUUGAGCCACUGCACUCCAGCCUGGGGGACAGAGUGAGACUCUGUCAAAUAAUAAUAAUAAUAAUAUAAUAUUUGGAUUUGUUUUUGACAAAAGAUUUGUCAUUAAUUUAGAAACAUUAGAUCUCAGAGUUGGGCACUGAAUGGUUACAUUUCCAUGUAGGUUGUUGCUCUAGUGCCUUCCCAUCAAAAAGUUUGGUCUUAGAAACUACCUUUGCUGAACUACAGAAUUUAAAUUUGAAGAUAUAUUUAUAAUUUUUAGUGUCAAUGUAAAAUAAAAAUAUCAAGAUGAAUCUCUAAACAAAAUGUUUUAUUUGGUAGAACAGAAUUGGAGUUCAGGGCAUACACAGAGAGUGGAAUGGUCUUCAGUAUGACUGAAAACCAAAGAGAAGUUUAGAGGUUUUAUUAGAGAGAAAUGUUAUAUAUUGUUUUGGAAGAAAACUCAUUAGCACUAGCAAAGUUUUUGGGAGCUAACAAGUUCUGACUGGUGAGUGAUGGUGGUGGGUAAAUUAGUCUUAGAGUCAUGGUGGUUUGUUUCAGAAGCUGCUAGGUAAAACUGGUCUUAAAGUUAUACCAGGUCAUUUCAGCAGCUAGCUUGCAGUAUUAGCCCCGGGCAGGUGCUUUGUGUCCCAA
rnacentral:lncRNA from 1 species